UACGUAGGGGUGCAAGCGUUGUCCGGAAUUAUUGGGCGUAAAGAGCUCGUAGGUGGCCUGUCGCGUCGGCUGUGAAAACUCGGGGCUCAACUCCGAGCUUGCAGUCGAUACGGGCAGGCUAGAGUUCGGCAGGGGAGACUGGAAUUCCUGGUGUAGCGGUGAAAUACGCAGAUAUCAGGAGGAACACCGGUGGCGAAGGCGGGUCUCUGGGCCGAUACUGACACUGAGGAGCGAAAGCGUGGGGAGCGAACAGG
rnacentral:rRNA from 1 species